rnacentral:misc_RNA from 1 species
AAGUCGUAACAAGGUUUCCGUAGGUGAACCUGCGGAAGGAUCAUUACCGAGUUAGGGUACCAUUCGUGCCCGACCUCCAACCCUUUGUCUACCUGACCAGAUGUUGCUUCGGCAGGCCCGUCGCCCCGCGAGGGGUGGCCGUCGGGGGUCCUUACCGGUCCCGGGCCCGUGCCUGUCGAUGGCCCUUCUAAAAACUCUUGCUUAAACCAUGUCGUCUGAGUAAAACAAACAAAAUAAAAACAAAACUUUCAACAACGGAUCUCUUGGUUCUG